AGCAGCCGCGGUAAUUCCAGCUCCAAUAGCGUAUAUUAAAGUUGCUGCAGUUAAAAAGCUCGUAGUUGAAUUUCGGGACCAUCAUGUCGGUCGUGCCUCGGUACGUACUGGCAUUGUUGGUUUCUCCCUUCUGACGAACCAUGAUGUCAUUUAUUUGGUGUUGUGGGAAAUCAGGACUGUUACUUUGAAAAAAUUAGAGUGUUUAAAGCAGGCUCACGCUUGAAUACAUUAGCAUGGAAUAAUGAAAUAGGACGUUUGAUUCUAUUUUGUUGGUUUCUAGGAUCGACGUAAUGAUUAAUAGGGAUAGUUGGGGGCAUUAGUAUUCAAUUGUCAGAGGUGAAAUUCUUGGAUUUAUUGAAGACUAACUACUGCGAAAGCAUUUGCCAAGGAUGUUUUCAUUAAUCAAGAACGAAAGUUAGGGGAUCGAAGACGAUCAGAUACCGUCGUAGUCUUAACCAUAAACUAUGCCGACUAGGGAUCGGAUGAUGUUAAUUUUUAAUGACUCAUUC
rnacentral:rRNA from 1 species